rnacentral:rRNA from 1 species
CGCGUAGGCGGGCCGGACGGUCCGGAGUGAAAUCCCCCCGCUCAACGGGGAACGGCUCCGGAUACCGCCGGCCUCGAGGGGGGUAGGGGCGAGCGGAACGCUGGGUGGAGCGGUGAAAUGCGUUGAUAUCCAGCGGAACUCCGGUGGCGAAGGCGGCUCGCUGGGCCCUCUCUGACGCUGAGGCGCGAAAGCCAGGGGAGCGAACG